AGAGUUUGAUCCUGGCUCAGAUUGAACGCUGGCGGCAUGCCUUACACAUGCAAGUCGAACGGCAGCACGGGUGCUUGCACCUGGUGGCGAGUGGCGAACGGGUGAGUAAUAUAUCGGAACGUGCCCUAGAGUGGGGGAUAACGUAGCGAAAGUUACGCUAAUACCGCAUACGAUCUACGGAUGAAAGUGGGGGACCGCAAGGCCUCACGCUCCUGGAGCGGCCGAUAUCUGAUUAGCUAGUUGGUGGGGUAAAAGCCUACCAAGGCGACGAUCAGUAGCUGGUCUGAGAGGACGACCAGCCACACUGGGACUGAGACACGGCCCAGACUCCUACGGGAGGCAGCAGUGGGGAAUUUUGGACAAUGGGGGCAACCCUGAUCCAGCAAUGCCGCGUGUGUGAAGAAGGCCUUCGGGUUGUAAAGCACUUUUGUCAGGAACGAAACGGUGGGGGCUAAUAUCCUCUGCUAAUGACGGUACCUGAAGAAUAAGCACCGGCUAACUACGUGCCAGCAGCCGCGGUAAUACGUAGGGUGCAAGCGUUAAUCGGAAUUACUGGGCGUAAAGCGUGCGCAGGCGGUUGUGCAAGACAGAUGUGAAAUCCCCGGGCUUAACCUGGGAAUUGCAUUUGUGACUGCACGGCUAGAGUGUGUCAGAGGGGGGUAGAAUUCCACGUGUAGCAGUGAAAUGCGUAGAUAUGUGGAGGAAUACCGAUGGCGAAGGCAGCCCCCUGGGAUAACACUGACGCUCAUGCACGAAAGCGUGGGGAGCAAACAGGAUUAGAUACCCUGGUAGUCCACGCCCUAAACGAUGUCAACUAGUUGUCGGGUCUUAAUUGACUUGGUAACGCAGCUAACGCGUGAAGUUGACCGCCUGGGGAGUACGGUCGCAAGAUUAAAACUCAAAGGAAUUGACGGGGACCCGCACAAGCGGUGGAUGAUGUGGAUUAAUUCGAUGCAACGCGAAAAACCUUACCU
rnacentral:rRNA from 1 species